rnacentral:rRNA from 1 species
AAUAUUGCACAAUGGGCGAAAGCCUGAUGCAGCGACGCCGCGUGAGGGAUGACGGCCUUCGGGUUGUAAACCUCUUUCAGCAGGGAAGAAGCGAAAGUGACGGUACCUGCAGAAGAAGCGCCGGCUAACUACGUGCCAGCAGCCGCGGUAAUACGUAGGGCGCAAGCGUUGUCCGGAAUUAUUGGGCGUAAAGAGCUCGUAGGCGGCCAGUCACGUCGGAUGUGAAAGCCCGAGGCUUAACCUCGGGUCUGCAUUCGAUACGGGCUGGCUAGAGUGUGGUAGGGGAGAUCGGAAUUCCUGGUGUAGCGGUGAAAUGCGCAGAUAUCAGGAGGAACACCGGUGGCGAAGGCGGAUCUCUGGGCCAUUACUGACGCUGAGGAGCGAAAGCGUGGGGAGCGAACAGGAUUAGAUACCCUGGUAGUCCACGCCGUAAACGUUGGGAACUAGGUGUUGGCGACAUUCCACGUCGUCGGUGCCGCAGCUAACGCAUUAAGUUCCCCGCCUGGGGAGUACGGCCGCAAGGCUAAAACUCAAAGGAAUUGACGGGGGCCCGCACAAGC